AACACGUACCUAUUUACUUCUUCCUUCCAGCAGUGGUUGUCCGAUCGUUCGAAGCUGCACCCAAAGCAGCCAGCAGCACCAGUACAGCAGCACCAAUACAGCCACCAGCAGUGAGCCGGGUGUGAGAUCACUCAGCACAGCGACACGGACUCGACUGUCAACUGUUGGGCUUGGAUUGAAAAGAUCUAUUCACGGUGCACAGAUCAAAACUGCAGCUGGUGUUUUGCACCAAUACAGCCAAAGUUGUGAGCCGGGUACAGAACGUAUCGACACAACUCACAAUCUAGUUGGCCUUUAGCGCGAAUAAUACACUCUUUUGUUUGGCUAUUCGUACACACGGACCGGAUUGUAAUAGAACGACCACUUUGCACGUCCGUUUCUGUCGAGUGUUCGACGCGGAAUGAGAUCCUCGCACUUGGUACACUCCAAGAACUCAAAACCAAGCAGCCGGAGGGCUACUUUACACUCGGUACAAAUAUGUUCAACAACACGAUACAAGAUUCAAGAAAAGCGUGAAACAUCCAUCAGCAGCGGGUCCAGUAAUCGAACAACAGACUGGAAACACAACACAAUUUCAGGAUCACUGGAACCUCUUAAGUGUGGAUGAACGUGAUCAAUGCCUAGCUGCCAAGAUCAAAUUGAAUACAGUCGGUUUUACCUAAAAGGAAGAAAUAAUGAACUUAUGGAAUACGAGCUACCCUCUUCGACGUUUCCAGUCCGUCACAGGAAAAUUAGCGUUCGAAGAAUGGGAUGUCUUAACUCACUAUGCAGAUGUGCACGAAUUAAUAACUGUGGACUUCAAACGAAUUCAUC